ensembl:snRNA U2 U2 spliceosomal RNA
AUCCCUUCUCAGCCUUUUGGCUAAGAUCAAGUGUAGUACAAAUAGUAAAGACACUUUAUCCAGAGAAAAUCAUUUUCUGAGCAUAACUUUU